rnacentral:rRNA from 1 species
ACGGGAGGCAGCAGUGGGGAAUAUUGCACAAUGGGCGCAAGCCUGAUGCAGCAACGCCGCGUGAGGGAAGACGGUUUUCGGAUUGUAAACCUCUGUUCUUGGUGACGAAGAAGUGACGGUAGCCAAGGAGAAAGCCACGGCUAACUACGUGCCAGCAGCCGCGGUAAUACGUAGGGAGCAAGCGUUAUCCGGAAUUACUGGGUGUAAAGGGAGUGUAGGCGGGACUGUAAGUCAGAUGUGAAAUAUGCCGGCUCAACUGGCAGACUGCAUUUGAAACUGCGGUUCUUGAGUGAAGUAGAGGUAAGCGGAAUUCCUAGUGUAGCGGUGAAAUGCGUAGAUAUUAGGAGGAACAUCAGUGGCGAAGGCGGCUUACUGGGCUUUAACUGACGCUGAGGCUCGAAAGCGUGGGGAGCAAACAGGAUUAGAUACCCUGGUA